rnacentral:ribozyme from 1 species
GAAUAUACUGAUUCAGAAAGAUUGUGAGAAAGAGGAAAAAGAAGAGAGAGAAAGAGAGAGACUGUUAAACGAUUCUUCUUCGGCUGUUAUUCCCUCUCUCUCUCCUUCUUCCUCUCAUCCUCACACUCUCUCUACUUCUACU